CCUACGGGGGGCAGCAGUGAGGAAUAUUGGUCAAUGGGCGGGAGCCUGAACCAGCCAAGUCGCGUGAGGGAAGACGGUCCUAUGGAUUGUAAACCUCUUUUGCCGGGGAGCAAAAAGCGGUACGUGUACCGCAUCGAGCGUACCCGGAGAAAAAGCAUCGGCAAACUCCGUGCCAGCAGCCGCGGUAAUACGGGGGCUGCGAGCGUUAUCCGGAUUUAUUGGGUUAAAAGGGUGCGCAGGCGGCGAGUAAAGUCAGCGGUAACAUUGCGGGGCUUAACCCCGGCGAGCCGUUGAAACUGGCUGGCUAGAGUGGGCGAGAAGUAUGCGGAAUGCGUGGUGUAGCGGUGAAAUGCAUAGAUAUCACGCAGAACUCCGAGUGCGAAGGCAGCAUACCGGCGCCCGACUGACGCUGAGGCACGAAAGCGUGGGUAUCGAACAGGAUUAGAUACCCUAGUAGUC
rnacentral:rRNA from 1 species